CGUGUUUCUGCUCAGUCGCACACUCAAAUCCUGCGUGUUUUGAGUUCCUGCGGGAGCAGUUUUAAGGGGACCGGAACGGCAUUUCGGCUUUGCACCUUAUUAGCACUAGAGUUUAGUCAACACCUUUACACCAUGGGGUGGUAAGGGGGCGGAGGUAGGAGCCAGGAGGCGGCCAGCUAAUCUGCAGAGGGAGACUAUCUGCGGCUUCUCCAGGACCGCUCUGCCAGACUCUCAGCAUUCAGCCGAAAACGAGAGCCGCUCUUCCCAUCCAGUCGGGGGAAAUCUGGGCACGGCUGGCCAACCUCUUGAAACGGAGUCUUAUUGUAUUUUCUAGUGUGAUGCAUGAAUUUAUAUAUGGAAUAUGUGCAGUUCAUUUUUACCUAUUUCACUUUAUGGCCACAGUUCGGAUCAUCGCCUGUGCUCCCUGAUUGAUUUCCUCCUGGGCUCCUCAUUUUCCUGCGAUUCAGAAAGUCGCUUUGAGACAGUCUCGAUGCAUUCGAAAGGGACACUUCUAGAAGCAGCGAAGGUGAUGUGGUAGAGAUGGCCGGAGCGUGGACAGCGGGCGUAGUGCGGUUCCUGCUCUUAGUCAAGGAAAGGGGCCCAAGUCAUGAGAGCACUCUUGUAAAAAUGUCGGUGCGAGUUUGAGGUGACGUAAUGUCCAAAUGAAACCAUGUUAAUGCAAUGCUAUGGAGAUGAUGUUACACUGUUAAAGACGGAAUAAAAUUCUGCUAACACAA